AGCGAACGCUGGCGGCAGGCUUAACACAUGCAAGUCGAGCGGGCACUUUCGGGUGUCAGCGGCGGACGGGUGAGUAACGCGUGGGAACGUGCCCUCUGGUUCGGAAUAACUCAGGGAAACUUGAGCUAAUACCGGAUACGCCCUUUUGGGGUAAGGCUUGCUGCCGGAGGAUCGGCCCGCGUCUGAUUAGCUAGUUGGUGAGGUAACGGCUCACCAAGGCGACGAUCAGUAGCUGUUCUGAGAGGAUGAUCAGCCACACUGGGACUGAGACACGGUCCAGACUCCUACGGGAGGCAGCAGUGGGGAAUAUUGGACAAUGGGCGCAAGCCUGAUCCAGCCAUGACGCGUGAGUGAUGAAGGCCUUAGGGUUGUAAAGCGCUUUUAUCCGGGACGAUAAUGACGGUACCGGAGGAAUAAGCCCCGGCUAACUUCGUG
rnacentral:rRNA from 1 species